rnacentral:rRNA from 1 species
GAUGAACGCUGGCGGCGUGCCUAAUACAUGCAAGUCGAGCGAACAGACGAGGAGCUUGCUCCUCUGACGUUAGCGGCGGACGGGUGAGUAACACGUGGAUAACCUACCUAUAAGACUGGGAUAACUUCGGGAAACCGGAGCUAAUACCGGAUAAUAUAUUGAACCGCAUGGUUCAAUAGUGAAAGACGGUUUUGCUGUCACUUAUAGAUGGAUCCGCGCCGCAUUAGCUAGUUGGUAAGGUAACGGCUUACCAAGGCAACGAUGCGUAGCCGACCUGAGAGGGUGAUUGGCCACACUGGAACUGAGACACGGUCCAGACUCCUACGGGAGGCAGCAGUAGGGAAUCUUCCGCAAUGGGCGAAAGCCUGACGGAGCAACGCCGCGUGAGUGAUGAAGGUCUUCGGAUCGUAAAACUCUGUUAUUAGGGAAGAACAUAUGUGUAAGUAACUGUGCACAUCUUGACGGUACCUAAUCAGAAAGCCACGGCUAACUACGUG